UCCUACGGGAGGCAGCAGUGGGGAAUAUUGGACAAUGGGGGCAACCCUGAUCCAGCAAUUCUGUGUGCACGAUGAAGGUCUUCGGAUUGUAAAGUGCUUUCAGCAGGGAAGAAAAAAAUGACGGUACCUGCAGAAGAAGCGACGGCUAAAUACGUGCCAGCAGCCGCGGUAAUACGUAUGUCGCGAGCGUUAUCCGGAAUUAUUGGGCAUAAAGGGCACCUAGGCGGCCGGAUAAGUCUGGGGUGAAAACUUGCGGCUCAACCGCAAGCCUGCCCUGGAAACUAUGCGGCUAGAGUACUGGAGAGGUGGACGGAACUGCACGAGUAGAGGUGAAAUUCGUAGAUAUGUGCAGGAAUGCCGAUGAUGAAGAUAGUUCACUGGACGGUAACUGACGCUGAAGUGCGAAAGCUAGGGGAGCAAACAGGAUUAGAUACCCUGGUAGUCCUAGCUGUAAACGAUGAUUACUGGGUGUGGGCAUGAAGAGUGUCCGUGCCGAAGCUAAUGCGAUAAGUAAUCCGCCUGGGGAGUACGGCCGCAAGGCUGAAACUCAAAUGAAUUGACGGA
rnacentral:rRNA from 1 species